GAUGAAGAACGCAGCGAAAUGCGAUAAGUAGUGUGAAUUGCAGAAUUCAGUGAAUCAUCGAAUCUUUGAACGCACAUUGCGCCCCUUGGUAUUCCGAGGGGCAUGCCUGUUCGAGCGUCAUUACACCACUCAAGCUAUGCUUGGUAUUGGGCGUCGUCCUUAGUUGGGCGCGCCUUAAAGACCUCGGCGAGGCCACUCCGGCUUUAGGCGUAGUAGAAUUUAUUCGAACGUCUGUCAAAGGAGAGGAACUCUGCCGACUGAAACCUUUAUUUUUCUAGGUUGACCUCGGAUCAGGUAGGGAUACCAGCUGAACUUAAGCAUAUCAAUAAGCGGAGGA
rnacentral:misc_RNA from 1 species